rnacentral:rRNA from 1 species
AGCGAACGCUGGCGGCAGGCCUAACACAUGCAAGUCGAACGAACCUUUCGGGGUUAGUGGCGGACGGGUGAGUAACACGUGGGAACGUGCCUUUAGGUUCGGAAUAACUCAGGGAAACUUGUGCUAAUACCGAAUGUGCCCUUCGGGGGAAAGAUUUAUCGCCUUUAGAGCGGCCCGCGUCUGAUUAGCUAGUUGGUUGAGGUAAUGGCUCACCAAGGCGACGAUCAGUAGCUGGUCUGAGAGGAUGAUCAGCCACAUUGGGACUGAGACACGGCCCAAACUCCUACGGGAAGCAGCAGUGGGGAAUCUUGCGACAUGGGCGGAAGGCUGACGCAGCCAUGCCGCGUGAAUGAUGAAGGUCUUAGGAUUGUAAAAUUCUUUCACCGGGGACGAUAAUGACGGUACCCGGAGAAGAAGCCCCGGCUAACUUCGUG